UCAGCUGAGCUCCGCUCUGCACAGACACAGUGCGUUACAAGAAAGCCCGAGCGCUGAAAUGAGAAUGGAUCUAAAACCUUCACGCGUUCACGACAUACGGGACAAUUUAAAGGUUUUUCUAGAUGUUUUUUUUUCCCCCUCCGUCCUUGUUCUUCUCCUUCUGUCGGUCCAAAGAUCUUCUAGAGUGGCGGCUCCGGACGGCGAUCCCCCUCCUGCUUCCUCCCUGCUCUGCGAUAAUAUGCUCAGAAGGAGAGGGUCUGCUGCUGGAGGAGGAAAGUUCUUUUUAUAGACACAUGAAGUACUAAGCACGGAGUCUCAAGGCCUCGGGGUGUGAUUGAGCUGCUCAGGCACCACAAACAUCACAUUCUUCACAGACAGAUUCACCUCCUCAUCCGCAUGCCCUGAGGAUCACAUCACUUUGACUGAUGCUCAUAAGACCAGUGUUUUGAAAAAAAGACUUCUCACAGCCACGAGUGACAAAACUGGAAUGUGACCCCUGACCCAGCAUCCUUCAUGCGGCCUGCUGCUCCCCUGUUCACGCCAGGCGCCUGAAGCGAUUGAGUGAAGUCUCCUCGGGAUGUUACUGUAAUUUCUGCGAAAUGUCCCAGUGACCGGUAGGCAAAGGUCUCCGUCAACCUGGCCACAAUCUAACGAAUAUGUACGUCAUGCUCAUUAGAUGAACAUGAUGCACAUAUUGGUACAUGGUGAUGGAAAUGUUUAGAUCCUUGAAUUCUGUGAAAAUUUUAUAUGCCAAUGUACGUAAUGGUAAUUUUACUAUGCAAUGUUCUGAAUGCUUGAUGUUCUGACACAUGAACGAUAUACUCUGUUCUUUGUAAGAUGUGUUUCUCUGCAAAUGAGUGACGUGGCCUAUGUGAACUUGGGAUAAGGGGGGACAGAAGCAGUCGCAGCUCACCAGUACCAGUCCUUCCUAUGCUCUUGACCAAUCGUUAAACCAAUCGUUAAACUUUGUGCUUUAUUUAGCUUUUAACAGUGUCAUAACUAUAAGAUAUGUACUCGGACAGUGCUUCUGCGUCAUACUUGCAGACUCUGUCUCGAUGAUUUGAUCCGCUUCGCAAAGGUUUGUUUACUUAUAAUAAAAUACAAUCUACAGUCUUUCAGAUGUCCACCACAUGUACGGUAUUAAAAGCGUCAGCUAAAGUCGGAGCACUGCAAAUUGUUUUUGUGCUUGACAAGAUUUAAAAUUAGCUUCCUUUUUUUGCAGCGAGUGCAGUAAAAUGGCCUGUAGUGGCCUAAAAUAAGUAGAUGACUGUUGACACUAUAUAACACUAGUAGGAGGUUCAAAAUGUCUGUGGCUUAGUUCCAAAAAAAACAGGCAGACUAUCCAUUUACAAGCUCACAAUGAGGCAUUCUGUCAUGCCAUCACCAUAGGAUUGUGUUUCAAUUCAAACAUGGUUACCAUGGUAGCAGCAAGUGCAGUUUGAAAUGAACGCAGGGUCAGGGUCGGCCUUGUUGUUGCAAAAAGUGCUCAUCCAGCCUGUUUACCCUCAAACAAAGCAACGUUGUAAACAUCUCAGUGAUGAUGUUGCCAUGUUUCACUGCACUGUUUUUUUUGUUGUUGAUAUUAACACAUUUGUAAUUAAUUGUUUGUUUGUUUGUUAGUUAUUUUUGUGUGUGUGUUUGGUGCUGUUUAGGUUUUUGUGUAAUUUCUUUUCAGAUUUUCCUGUAAUUCACCUUAGUUACUUUCAAUAUGGUGAUGCCCAUUUUGGGAAAACCGGAAAUCCUAAAACAUUUCUUCCUUCUUAUUAGAAUAUAGGAGAUUAGGUUUAACUUUAGUGUCAUAGUUGUGAACACUAUUUCAUAUGCAAAACAAGAUCGAAAGACUUCAGGCAGUGAAUUCAGCACAGUGUCAUCAUAUUUCUCAGAAGAUGUAAUAAAAAUUUAUGUCAGAUAAGGACACUCCCAGAUUCAACCCAGGCGGACUGAUAUGUAUUCCCAAUAAAUCAUUGAGGUUGCUGCC